AAAAAGCUUUUGCAAAAGGAAAAAAAUAUGAGGACUGGUUUUGCGGUAUAAUUUCAACCCGCAUUCUCAGAUACCUCUAGGUUUGAAAAUAAAGAAAGAGAAACGAGAUGAACAUAAAGACUCGACUGCUAUGGUUCGGUGUAGGGAUUUUGGUGGGAGGAGCUGCGAUUUCCCACUUCAUCUGGAGAGGCUCGAGGAGCGAUCGAUACGCUCUCGUUUAUGAUAUGAAGCUGCAAUUGGCUGCUUUGGAAGCCAGAGUGUUGAAGCUCGAGGCAGUCUCUUUUCCGAAGUCGAGUCCCGCUCAGGCUGAAGGCUAGCAUUAUUUCAAACACACAUCUACAUCUCAGACGGAAAAGAGGACUAUAUAAGAUUUAUUGUCUUCAAACAUUUGUUGGAUUUAAAUAUUUUUACUGAGAUCGCGACGUACCAUGGAUGAUCUACAAAUCUUGACUUGCUAAUGUCUUGCUGCCUUGGAACAAGGAAAAAGUAGUCUAAAGAAGUCAAUUUCUUUUUUGUUUUACCAUUAUAGCACCCUGCUUUCUGUAGUAUUCAUGUACCGAUGAACAACCAUGAUUAUAGCUUACAGGAUUUGACUUUAGAAGGCAGAGUUUGAAGUUUGACAAGUCCCUAGAUUUGCUCAGGAAAAAAAAAAAAAAAAAAAUUGGAACUCUUGGAAUUGAAUGCCGCAUUCUUGGCCAGGAGAUGGGCAAAAUGAGCAUCGGAUACAUUCCCAGAAAACUAUGCACUAUUUGCAAACAUUUAGGGAUCUAUCCACUGAAAAUUAUUGCACUUGUAAAUCCUGGCCUGUGGACGAUGGUUGUUAAGAUUUUAAAAGCUUUGGCGAAUA